AAACCUUAACAAAGGACAAAGCCAAGUACAUUCACGCAUGAACCUAAAACAAAAGGCCCGUAAAACAAGCCUUCUCUUUGGACUACUCCCAUCCACCAGCACCAGGAAGCACAGACGACUCUGAAGUCUACACCCAAUGGCAAUUCAGUCACAAAGACGUGGGAAAGUUCCACCGUGGUCAGAUAGUUUCACUAAAUCCAUCUCUUGAACGCCAUGUAGAACACUCCUGAAAAGGCAUUGAAAUGCUUCGGCAAAAAGGAUUUACCAUAUUGGCACAAU
rnacentral:misc_RNA from 1 species